rnacentral:rRNA from 1 species
GUGCCAGCCGCUGCGGUAAUACAUAGGUGGCAAGCGUUGUCCGGAUUUAUUGGGCGUAAAGGGAACGCAGGCGGUUUUAAGCUGAUGUGAAAGCCUUCGGCUUAACCGAAGAAUAGCAUUGGAAACUGGAAGACUUGAGUGCAGAAGAGGAGAGUGGAAUUCCAUGUGUAGCGGUGAAAUGCGUAGAUAUAUGGAGGAACACCAGUGGCGAAAGCGGCUCUCUGGUCUGUAACUGACGCUGAGAUUCGAAAGCGUGGGUAGCAAACAGGAUUAGAUACCCUGGUAGUCCACGCCGUAACGAUGAAUGCUAAGUGUUGAGGUUUCGCCUUCAGUGCUGCAGCUAACGCAAUAAGCAUUCCGCCUGGGGAUACGACCGCAA